CCGAAUUGUCAAACGUGGGUUGUUGCUGGUCCUCGAACGGGGACAUGUGCACGCUCCGUUUACACAUCCACUUACACCUGUGCACCCUCUGUGGUUCUACGGUCCGGGGGACACCGUCUCCCUUCCGUGGUUCUGCACCUUUACACAUACACUGUAGCAAAGUCUUAUGGAAUGUGUGCCGCGUUUAACGCAAUACAAUA
rnacentral:misc_RNA from 2 species